CGUAAACAAAAUGUCUAUACAGAUACCUAUGUAUACAUGAAAAGAUUCUACUAGUGUUUUCGAGGAAGCUCUAUGAUUUUCUAAAAAUUUAAUCGUGACUUCGAAUAAACAUUUUACUAUUGACAUUAACAAUCUAAAUUAUUAACUAAAAAGACCGUCGGCUUAUUUCUGUGUGCGAUCCGCACCACUUGUCAAAGGCCUGAAAGCGGACGAACGGGUCUGCGAGGUACACCUCGAUGACAGAUUU